ACUUAUUUAAAUAUAUUAUCACUGGUUUGGUGUAAAAUAGUUAAUAUUUUCUGACCGAAAUAACAAUUCGAAAUGUGCCUACCUCCUGCAAAUGGACGCAUUUGGCCAAGUUCUCCACUUUACUCCGCUGUUUAUCGGCGAUCUCGUCGACAUCCUACAAAAAAUGUAAAUCAUCUCAGACAUAAUGGUAUCAAGAACAUUUUAAACAAGUUUCAACUUGGU